GCCACGGUGGUCUAGCGGUUAGAACGCUGGCCUUGUAAUCCUGGGGUCCUGGGUUCGAUUCCCGGUAGUGCCC
rnacentral:tRNA from 1 species